CUUCUCUCUUUUUUUCUCCUCCCGACUCUCUCUUCUCUUCCUCUCAAGAACUUCAAUCAUCCCUGAAUCGAUUGCAGUUUCAUACGAUUGCAUAACAGAUCUUCAAUCAUAACAGAUCGGUUACAGUUUCUAUCCGGUGAAGCAGAUGUAAGAGGGGGUGUCGUGAUUGAUAGAUUCUGAUGCUGCGAAGAACAUAUGAUUAUAGUUCAUGAUUUCUGCUGCUGAUUCAUGGCGAGAAAGAGAUGAAAAAGUGAAGAUUAAAUAGGGAUUUCUUCUGGUGAUUUGAGUAAUAGAGAUGGGUUCAAUUGAUUUUAGAGGUUUGAUGAUUUGAAUUGAGGAAUUGAUGAUGCUUUAGGGUUUGUAUAAGAUGGAUCUGUGGUCGAUUUAUGAGAAGAAGAAUGGGUAGUUUAGGUUUGCAAUUGGGUCAUUCUGAUGGUGCUUCUGAGAUGAAGAUGGUGUUUGUGCUUGAUUGAUGGGCCACAUAAGACUGUUUUCCGCCUUCAGAUUAUAAACAGCAAAGCCCCUCUCAGGAGCUUGUGGCUACAGAUUUGCACGGUGUGCAAUGGAGGUUUCUGCAUAUUCACAGAGAUUGUCGAGCAGCGCAAAUAUCACAUCCUUUCUACUAAACAUCAAUAGAGUCUUCCAGUUAUUAAGUAACUGCAGCUUUCCUAAAGUUUCGAGAGAUGCAGAGUUUUCUCAAAGUUUGUUAUAAUUGACGCUGGAUGGCACUCAGUUGUGAUGGAUACUAAUGGAAUUGCAUCCAAAGCUGAAGAUGCAACUAAGUUAAUUGGAUAAUGCUCUGCUGCAGCCAGUUUGGAGAAAAAGGUUGGAAAACAAGGCAGUCAUUAGGUUGAAAAGCAGCUGCAAGUUUUGCAAGUUUCUAGGUAUAUUCUAAGUUAGAUGAAUUUGUGAAGAUAGGGAUUUCUAUGAACUGAACUUAGGUAAUUCCUGUGUAUUUCCUUAGUAUUUGAUACUUAACAAAUAAAUUUUGGUACUUAGAAGAAUUCAAGUUCUUUUUUGUAUGAAUUGAUUUGAA